AACGCGAAGAACCUUACCAAGGUUUGACAUGCAGGGAAAAGCCGUAGAGAUAUGGUGUCCGUAAGGGUCCUGCACAGGUGGUGCAUGGCUGUCGUCAGCUCGUGUCGUGAGAUGUUGGGUUAAGUCCCGCAACGAGCGCAACCCUCGUCCUAUGUUGCCAGCGGGUAAUGCCGGGGACUCAUAGGAGACUGCCGGGGUCAACUCGGAGGAAGGUGGGGAUGAGGUCAAGUCAUCAUGCCCCUUAUGUCUUGGGCUGCAAACAUGCUACAAUGGCCGGUACAAAGGGUUGCGAAACCGCAAGGUGGAGCGAAUCCCAAAAAGCCGGUCUCAGUUCGGAUUGGGGUCUGCAACUCGACCCCAUGAAGUCGGAGUCGCUAGUAAUCGCAGAUCAGCAACGCUGCGGUGAAUACGUUCCCGGGCCUUGUA
rnacentral:rRNA from 1 species